rnacentral:rRNA from 1 species
GACGAACGCUGGCGGCAGGCUUAACACAUGCAAGUUGAACGGGAUUUGUGUGGUGCUUGCACCAUAUAAUGAGAGUAGCGCACUGGUGAGUAACACGUGGGAACGUGCCUUUUAGUGGGGGGAUAACAUCUGGAAACGGAUGCUAAUACCGCAUACGCCCUGAGGGGGAAAGAUUUAUUGCUAAGAGGUCGGCCCGCGGUAGAUUAGGCAGUUGGUGGGGUAAAGGCCUACCAAACCUACGAUCUAUAGCUGGUCUGAGAGGACGAUCAGCCACAUUGGAACUGAGACACGGUCCAGACUCCUACGGGAGGCAGCAGUGAGGAAUAUUGGGCAAUGGAGGCAACUCUGACCCAGCCAUGCCGCGUGAGUGAGAAGGUUUUCGAAUUGUAAAGCUCUUUCGGGUGUGAAGAUGAUGACGGUAACACCAGAAGAAGCCCCGGCAAACUUCGUG